AUGGGCAACAGCAUCGGCGGCCGGCGCAAGGGCGCCAAGGUGAUGCAGCUGGACGGCACCGCGUUCAGGGUGAAGCCGCCGGCGUACGCGGGCGCCGUGCUGCGCGACCACCCGGGCUUCCAGCUGCUCGAGUCGGAGCAGGUCAAGCUGCUCGGCGUCCGCGCGCGCCCGCUCGAGCACGACGCGCUGCUCCGCCCGGGCCGGCUCUACUUCCUCGUCGCGCUGCCCCGCCCCACCGUGCCCCCGCGCCGCGCCUGGUCCGGCGCGCUCCACGUCGGCGCGCGCGAGAGGCUCGAGUCGCUCAUGCUCACGCGCCGCUCCACCUCCGACCUCACCUUCCCGACCUCGGCCGGUGCCGGUACCGCGCCGCCCUCCCCGAUGUCUACCGCCUCCGAGGGCGGGCCGGUCCAGCUCAGGAUGCGCCUGCCCAAGGCGCAGGUCGCCAAGCUUAUGGGCGAGAGCCGGGACGCUGCCGAGGCGGCCGCGAAGAUCAUGCAGCUCUGCGCCGCCAACGGCGCUGUGACGCCGGAGCGGAGCCCGCGGUUCCUGCCGACGGCGGACUGGGGCACUGGUGGGCUCCCGCAGACGCCAGAGCGGAGCCCGCGGUUCGUGCCGACGCCGGACUGGGGCGGUGGCAGGUUCGCGCAAACCCCAGAGCGGAGUCCCAGGUUCGCCGCAACGCCCGAGUGGGGUGCCAGGUUCAUGAUGCAGACACCGGAGAGGGGCGUAGAGACGGCGAAGACGCCGGAUAGGUGGUCCGCUUUACCCCGCACGCCGGAGUAUGCAUCAGCGGACGUCAAGGCCAGCCGGAAGGAGAAGCGAACGCGGUUCGUGGCCUUGCCGGAUGAGAUCAUAGCAUGA
rnacentral:rRNA from 1 species